AUGAGAGGGUCCAGGUCGAAAUCUAGCCGGCCGUGGGCCUCCAACCAGGAAAAGGACUACACUGAGCAGUGGGGGCAGGGCAGGCCGCAGGCAGCCUCCGUAGGAGCCCGGCCAACACCUGGGAGACCCGGGGCCACCAAAGGGCAACAAAAUCAGGGGCGCUGCUGACACCCGGAAACCCACCACAACUCCAGGAAGGAAACCAAGGGGCCGACCCAAAAAACCGGGAAGGAGGGAGAGGAGGGCAUCGGAGUGCUCAGAGGAGGAGCAG
rnacentral:lncRNA from 1 species